AAAACAAACAAAAAAAAUCAAUCCUGCCCAGUAAUCCCCGUAUCUGAAAGUCAAGGUAAAAGGAUGAUUUGAGCACUUAACUUUGAAACAAAUCUGGGUACCAGAGGAAAUUGAAGUCCUGGGAUGAGGUGCAAACCAUUAAAAUGUCAAAUUAGGUUCAGGGGAACUGAUCAGGAGACAAAAUCAUCUGCCCGUGGCAAGCAAAGUUUCACAAGAAUCCUGUCUGAUGGCUCCCCGGAGUUCCUACUCUCAGAAGGACAAGACGGCCUUACUAAUGAUUGCCACUGACUCCCAGAUCUCAUCCUCCUUGAUCACAGGUGGAGAGGCAAACCUGAUGAUAUCGCAGUGAGUUGACUUGGCCAGAGGCCCAUUAUCUCGGAGAUACAGGCACAACCUUCCAAGUAUCACAGUCUUUGGUUUCUCUGAUGACGAUGGCAUUUAGCUCUCUCACAGCAGUCACAAGGUCAGAGGGCAGCUUCGUGAGCUCCUUUCUCAAGACAGCGCCCAUCUUGCAAGAUUAUCUUCUUCUAAAACCUGAAGAGCCACAAUGGCAAUUUGGCUGCCUAGUGGGUUGCCGCCGUAUGUAGAGCCAUGCUCGCCUGGCUUAAUGGUCAGCGUUAUUU
rnacentral:lncRNA from 1 species